GCCUGCGUGGUGGAAUGGUAGACGCUGGGGACUUAAAAUCCCUUGCCUUCGGGCGUGCGGGUUCGAGUCCCGCCGCAGGCACCA
rnacentral:tRNA from 1 species